AAGUUUCUGGAAAUAAAAACUGGGUCUUGCCAGGUGGUGGUGGCAUAUGCCUUUAUUCCCAGAACUCGGGAGGCAGAGACAGGUGGAUUUCUGUGAGUUCGAGGUCAGCCUGGUUUACAAAGGGAGUUCCAGAACAGUCAUGGCUGUUACCAUCUCAAUGCCCUCCCCCCAAAAAAAAUCAGCGAUUUGACAUGGGAUGGUGGUGCACAUCUUUAAACCCAGUACUCAGGAGGCAGAGACAGGCUGAUCUCUGAGAGUUAGAGGCCAGACUGGUCUACAGAGCUAGUUUCAGGACAGCUAGGAUUACACAGAGACCCUGUGUAAUUUGGAAACAAAACAGCAACAAAACCAGUGAUGCAUUUCAAAAGUGUAUUUUAUAUUGGAAAGUGGUUGCUUUGGGCAGUAGAGUUGGCUAAGCAGUUACUGCUCUUAUUUAUUUAUUUUAACUUCGUCUUAUGUGCACUGGUGUGAAGGUGUCCGAUUCCAGGGAACUGGAGUUACAGACAGUUGUAGGUUGUCAUGUGGGUGCUGAGAACAGAACCUGGGUCUUCUGCAAGAGCAGCCAGUACUCCAGCCCCUGCACUUACUGCUCUUACAGAGGACCUGGGUUCAAUUCCCAGCCCUCACAUGAUGGCUAAUAACUGCAACUCUAGUUCCACAGGAUCUGAUGCCUUCUGACUUCCAAGGGCAACAGGCACACAACAUGGAACACAUAUACAUGCAGGCAAAACUCUCAGACACAUGAAAUAACUUGAAAUACUCCUUUUGAAUGUGGGAGGGGCAUGCUAUGAUGUACACAUAAAGUCAGAAGGAAACUGGUUUCUCCCCCGUGUGGACCCUGGGCAUUCAGCUCAGGUCCUCGGGUUUGGUGGCAAGUGACUUUCCCUGCGGAGCCAUUUCAGUGGCCCUAAACUCAUGAGGCAGACCUUAAUGAGUUCAAGGCCAGCCUGGUCUACAGAGUUCCAGGACAGCCAGGACUGUCUCGGAACAAAACAAAAACAAAGAAAAAGCAAAGAAAUUUCUAUCAACUAUCUACCCUCACAAGGUUUUUUAAUAGACAACUUAAUCUAUGCCCUUCAACCUAAAAAAAAAAAAGAAUCCAAUUAACUUAAAGGUUAUUUAUGUCAACUAACUAAAGCAUUGUUUUCAAACCCCUUUCCUUUACUGUUGGCUUUGUUUCUAAAAACCUUAUUUUUAGAAGCAUUUUAAACAAGCAUGCACAAACAGAAUGAUGCUCAGAGACUUCCUUAGGGCUGACUGGUUAAGUGUUUAUAUUGGGAUUUUACCUGAACAAAGGGUUAGAAAACAGUGUGUUUAUCAUGCCAGGUGUAGGUAACUUUAUUCAAGAUCUGACAAAAAUGACCCCCAAAGUAAUAUAAAUUUAGACACAUUAAAAAAGUCUAGAUGUAAAAUUUCAAAAGAAAAAUGUUUCAGUUUCAAAUCAAUUUUAAGUCAAAAGUCAGAUAAAUUUUACAAAUCAUAAAUACUAUUUUCAUCUUAAGUUCAUUAUAUUUCCAAAGACAAGUCACCAACAUUGCUUUUUUCUUUGAUACUGGCCAUUUGGAAUCAAUUAACACGAUUUAUAUCUUUUAAGUUUUGAGUUUGUACCUAUCCUGAAUAUCUUGAUAUAAUUAAAAAUAUAAAUCCAGAAUCCACAGUUCUUCCUUCCAGAAGAAUUCCAAUUAUUAAAUAUAGAAGAAAUGAAACAAAUAGAAAAAUCACCAUUUGAACGCCACAGUAGUAAAUGCCACAAGCAAGAUCUGCCAGGAGAUAGUAGGAGAGGCAAACUCUAAGCAGAAACAGGACAUUUGCAUAGUCUCAAAGUAUCUCUAGCAAAUACUCAGUAAUUACAAAGGAAAGCAGGGUAAGCUUACAGUGCAGCAUCCUAGAGACACCACCUCAGCAGAGUGCUCAAAGGGAAGCACACUGGAAACACACGACACCAGCUAUCCUUAUGGUACAGCGCCACGGAGUGGAGACAACUGAGACAACUAGAUGCGAGAUGGGAUCCAGAACGGUUAAAAGGAUGCUAAUAAAAAGAUUAAUAAAAUAUCUACUUUUAGCUUGCUAUUGUAGCUAAUAUUAAUAGCACUAUAAAAGAUGAACUAUUAAUUUCAACAAAUGCUUUAGUUAGGUAAGAUGUCAAAACAAGGGAAAGGCAGAUGGAGGGCACACAGGAGCACUGCUAUGUUUACAACUCUUUUGUAAGUUUAAAAUCAUGUUACUAGUUCAAAAAAUAACUUAAGAUAUAUACACAUAUAUGUACAUUUGUGUAUAAUGUGUACAAUAUGUAAAAAUGAAGGAUGUGCAGAAAUUGGCAUCUUGGGCAGUGUAAUGUGUUCUGAAUCAGUCACUGUCUUGUUGGCAACACAGCUUUAAGGUUUCUCCUCUUAAACUUUUAAAUGUAAUUGUCAUAUUUUUAUAGAAAACGUUUGAGGGGUGGCUAGGCCUCACUACUGGCUAGCCUGGCACUCACUGUGUAGACCAAGAUGGUCUCAGAAUCAGAGAUCCACAGACCUGCCUCAGAAUCGAGGGUUACAGGCACGUGCCACCAUGUCCAGCUUAGAAACCCUUUAAAAACAUUUCUAUAUUAGGUCAAAAGGAAAAGAAUCAGGGCUAUAGCUCAAGAUCAGUACAGUGCUUGCCUAGCAUACAUAUAGCCCUGACUUUGAUCCUCAGCACCACAGAAACCAGGCACACACCUGCAGAAGGUGAGGCAGGGGCAUCAGGACUUUUAGGUUGUCCUAGGCUACAUACAAAGUUUAAGGUCAACCGGCAUGACAUUGUUCAAAAACAAAACUUGUAGAUAUAAAACACACAUGUGAGCACACACAUCCCAUAGUUAGGUGGGUAUGUAGGAUAGUUAGGUAGAUAGGAUAGACAGGUAAGAUAAGUAGGUAGAUAGGACAGGUAGGAUGGAUAGAUAGGUAGGUAGGAUAGGUAGGUAGGACAGAUAGGUAGGUAGGAUAGGUAGACAGGUAGGUAGGAUAGAUAGGUAGAUAGAUAGAUAGAUAGAUAGAUAGAUAGAUAGAUAGAUAGGAUAGGUAUAGGUAGGUAGGAUAGAUAGGUAGGUAGGAUAGAUAGAUAGAUAGGAUAGGUAGGUAGGUAGGUAGCACAUGUCUCUCACUAUGGAGCCCUGACUGGUCAGGAACUCUCUGCAGACCAGGUUGACCUUGAACUCAAGAGAUCUACCUGCCUCUGUCUUGAUUAAAAAUGUAUACCACCAAAUCAAAUUUAUACACUAAUAAAAUGUUUUAAAAACAGACUCUUGGAUAAAAUCAUGAAAUCUUGAAUCACUUGUCCUUUUAGUUUUUGAGACGUGAUCUCGUGUGACUCAGAGUGGCCUUGAAUUCUUGAUGUAGCUGAGGAUAAUCUUAAGCUUGUAAUCUUCCUGCCUCCACCUCCUAGUGCUGAGACAGGUAUGUGCCACUAUGCCUGGUUUAUGCAAUACUGGGAAUUUAACGCUGGACUUCAUGUACGUUAGGCAAACACUCUACGAAUUUAACCACGUCCCCGGCCUCCAUACAACAUUUUCGACUACAUUUCUACUCAUGACACACUGGCAUUGAUUUGGUUCCCUGUGAGUAGAAGGGAUGGCUAUAGGUUUAGCAUCACUAAUAUAAAGGCUUGCUAGUCUAGAAAACAAGUAUCACUUUGAUAUUUUACUAAGAAACUGCUUUUGUUGCAAAAGCAGAUACUGAAUGCUAGACUCACUUUAGAUUUAAAAGGUAAAUUAUUUACCUGUCUCUGUAUAAUAACAACAUAUAUGGAAAAACAAGAAAGGCCCCUUUCUUAAACUUGGUUCCAAAUGGACUGUUAUUAAUAAUAACAUCUUUCUUACGAAACAGGUAAUUCUAUGUAAUUUAUUCUAUGAAAUAAAGACCAGAUUUAAAGAAAACAAUGAGUUUUCUACUUUAGCUAUGGCUGACUCAUUCCCUGAGCAUGAAUCUCCUUUUCCUUCUAUCAGCUAUAAACUGAGCUCAAAUCUGUUUAACAGAAACUA